rnacentral:rRNA from 1 species
UACGAAGGUCCCAAGCGUUAUCCGGAUUUAUUGGGUUUAAAGGGUGCGUAGGCGGUCUGAUAAGUCAGUUGUGAAAUUCCUCGGCUUAACCGAGUGGACUGCGAUUGAUACUGUCAGACUUGAAUCAGGUUGAGGUAGGCGGAAUGUGACAUGUAGCGGUGAAAUGCUUAGAUAUGUCAUAGAACACCGAUUGCGAAGGCAGCUUGCUGGGCUUAGAUUGACGCUGAGGCACGAAAGCGUGGGGAGCAAACAGG